UGGGGGAUAUUGCACAAUGGGCGAAAGCCUGAUGCAGCGACGCCGCGUGGGGGAUGAAGGCCUUCGGGUUGUAAACUUCUUUUGCUCUGAACACGGCAUGCUUUUGGGGUGUGUUGAGUGUAGGGGUUGAUUAGCGCCGGCUAACUACGUGCCAGCAGCCGCGGUAAUACGUAGGGCGCGAGCGUUGUCCGGAAUUAUUGGGCGUAAAGGGCUUGUAGGUGGCUGGUUGCGUCUGUCGUGAAAGCUCAUGGCUUAACUGUGGGUUUGCGGUGGGUACGGGCUGGCUUGAGUGCAGUAGGGGAGGCUGGAAUUCCUGGUGUAGCGGUGGAAUGCACAGAUAUCAGGAGGAAUACCGGUGGCGAAGGCGGGUCUCUGGGCUGUUACUGACGCUGAGGAGCGAAAGCGUGGGGAGCGAACAGG
rnacentral:rRNA from 1 species